UUUUUGGGUUUCUUUUUUAUAAUUUGAAACCAUUUGAUGCAGGCCCUUUUAGAUAUGUUGCGUUAUCUUCAAAAGCAAAAUUGGAUAUGGUUCUGACAGAAGCAUUCAAUAAUUGCAUUAGUGGAGAAUUUAGAGAAAGCGAUUCAACCAAGUUUGAAUGUUGCUCAUAAAAGUUUGCAUAAUUAGGUAAGACCAUACAAGUUAAUUUAUUGUUUGGGGUCGAAUGCUUUACUGAAAAGGGGACGAAAGGGAAGGAAUGCGAAUACAGUGGCAUUGGGAAACAAGGAGAGAUUUGUUUUCAGCUUCCACCAUUUUCAUAGACAGCCAGGUACACUGUUCUAGCCCAGAUGAUUGAGUGUUUAUUAACUCCAUGGGCCACUCUUUUUAAAUGUCCAAAACCAUUCAACAUCAAGUUUUUAUAACAUCUGCAAUAGGGUACGUUGCACAAGUUGUAGCUGGAGUUGCUUUUGGUUGGUAAUUUAUACUGCUUGCUUCCCAUUUACGGUUCGAUAUUGUGUCGAGAAAUAAAAGAUAGAAGAAUGAAAACUUUCCAUUUUUCUGUAGAGGUCCGAUACUUUUGGUACAUAAUGUACAAGUUCAAUUAAUUCUAUGCAAAUCAAAUGUUUAAUAACAAGAAUUAAUAGUUAAUAUAUAUUUGAUCAAAAGGUAAUAACAUUUUGUUUUGGAACCCUAGAAAUAGAUAUUAUCGACAAACAUUCAAGAAAGACGACCUUGGGUAAAAAAAAACUUGCAACUUGCUAAAAGAGAUAUAUAUAUCUGUACUUAUGUUGUUUGUAUAUAUAUAUAUAGCACUGUAUUUUGGUAAGCCCCAUGAAUGAAUUUAAGGUGGGAACAUAAAGACUUUGAGGUGGGGGCAGAAAAUAGGAGCCCCACGUCAUGUUGUCUUUCUUGUCCUUUGAAAGAUAGGAACCUCUCCUGCCAUAUUUCACCAGCUCCAAUUGCUUCUUUUCCACGUCUUUGCAGAGAAGAAGAUUGAUGGGUUGAUGGAUUCUGAAUGAAGAAUUAUUGCAAACCAAAACAAAAAUAAACAAGAAAAACAACAACUGCAGAAAGCCAUACUUGUUCCCCACCACAGCAGAGGGCCCCCUCAACCCACAGUUGACACAGUAUCAUACUUUUCCAAUGUUAGUUAUAUAUAUAACAUUGGAUUUCGUCCAAAAAAAAAAAUUAUACAUUUAACAUUGGAAGAGUAUUUAAAAGGAUAAGGAUUGAUUGACAUUGAAUAUAUCAAUUCCUAGAACCUAGUAUGUAUUUGAUUUAAGAGAUAUUGUAAUAUCAUAAUAGUGCGUUAUAAAUGUUAUAAUAUAAGUGAAUUGAUAAUAUUCAUGUAGUCACGUGUAUCUUAUAGUCACAUAUUAACAUUUCUUAUAAAGUAGAUUUAACUGAUUUGGUAUCUGCAUCAAGUAAAAUUGAAAAUAUAAGUUUUUGUUGUUGUUGGGUGGAGUGGGGAAGACUAAGAUAUGAUGUGGAAUUGAGAUGAGAAGAUUGGAUUUGGUUUCCCCCAUAUUUCCAAGGAAGAAAAAGGUGAGGCUUUUGGGAUUUUUGCAAUCUCGAGGAGGGUUUGGCUGAGAGGAGGAGAGGACAGGAGAGGAGGCAAGUAUAGUAAUAAUUGGCGGACAAUGGACUUGACUCUCACUAGAACCACUGCCUGACCCAGAUCCAGAUACGAUUCUUUCAGACUCUGUACAUAUGUGUGUGUGUGUGUGUGUGAAUUGUGUGUAUGAGAGAGAAAUAGAAGACAGGUUUAACUUUUCUUGAUUUGUAUGAGUGUAAUAUCUUUCUGUGUGAGUGAGAGAGAGAGAGAGAGAAGACUGCCAAAAGUGAAGAGAGAAACAGGAAAGAUGGUGUGCGUGUUUUUGAAUGAUGAAAGUUUGGUGCCGCUACAGAUUACGAAAAAGAAGGAAAAAAACAUAUCAAUGGAAUGAGUAGAAUUAGACAGGGAAGUCGAAGAAUAUAAGGAAAUUCAAAUCAAAGUCACCUCUCUCCCUCAGACACAAUCUCACACAAUGUGUUGUCUAAUCUCAAACGCUUAAUCUGCACAAGUUCAAGUCACCCCCUCUGACCUUGGAAUCAUAUUAAUGAAACCCUAACCCUAAUUGCUUUGCUGGGUUUCAUUACUUGUUUGGAAUUAACCCUAAUUACACAUUUUAUAGCGUAACCUGACCUGAGCAUCAUAAAAAAGUUAUGUAUUUAUAUCCGGGUUUCACUGUGUUGUCCGGUAAGUUUCGGGUACAGCACAAAUACUUGGCUGUAGUUGGAGAUGGAACAACUACAGUGCUUUAUGUAUCGGAUCCAAUGAGGAAUGGACUGUAGAUUGUACUGUUUCAGAUAUCUCUGCAACUAUACUCC
rnacentral:lncRNA from 1 species